ensembl:lncRNA
CACAAAACUACCUUCCCAUACUCUUUUUCCUAAGAUAUUAUAACAUUCAACAUAUUAUGCUUUGAAAAUUCAGGAAAAGAAAGAGUUGUUUGUGAUUUUUGUAUUAUGUCAUCUUAUUACUGGGAAACAGAAACACCCAAGUAAAAAGGAAUGUAUAAUAAGGUAUAUAUGUAUUGCUUUAGGAAGUCAUGAAAAAUUGAUUAUUUUAGUGUUGAAAAUAAUUAAAUAUAAUGUAAUUAUUUUAAAAUGGUUAUUUCUAUACAAAUUUAAAUAAAUAAAAAGCAUAUUAUAAAUGAAAAUGAUAAAUUUCCAGCUAUAAUUUAAUAAAUGUAAAUGAGGAUAACUUCAGCAUUAAAAUACACACAGUACAGAUAAGGUGGAAACUUUGCUUCAUGUGGCAUUAUAUGCCUCUCUGGAAAAGCUUGUGCAUUUCUUACAGAAGAGUAAAAAUACAAGGGAACAUAUCAUGAAACCAAUUUUUCAUAUAUUGCCUGGAAAAAUCCUAUUGAAACUAACAUUCUCACAAUAUAAUAAGGCAUCAAUGUGAAAUUUACACAUUGAUCCCUUAUUUGUUUAAGAGUUACAGUUUUACAAAUUAUACAACAAUGAUUGAAUGAUUGAAAGCUAUUGAAAGUUUUUAGAAUGAUUUUUAAUAUUUCUUCUUAAGACUAUGCAUACUACACAAUUAAAAAAUUAUGUUCAUGUUUUAAAUGCCUAUCUGCCAUAGGAAAUAAAUAUAUAAUUAACAUUAACUUAUGAUUUUUAAAAUAGUGAUAGAGCAAAAAAAUUGGUUUAGAAAAUAAAUAUGCAAUUUUAAUUGAUUCUGUAAUCAAAAGUCCAGCCUUUCAAAAGAUUUUUUCCUUAACCAUAUUGAGAGUUUAAUCAUGAACUUUUAUGUAAUUGGGGAUUUUUAAUGUUUAUCUGUUGGUGUAUUUAAUAGGUAAAUGUAGAGAUGCUCAAAUUUAAUUUUUCUUGGCAAAUUAUAUAUUAUUACUAAUAUCUAAAUUUUUUAUGCCUUACCAUUUUUGUAUUUACUAUAAUAGCAGGAUAGUAACUUGGGUCUCUUUUCUUUGAUAAAGUAAUGAGUAACUUUAUACGUUAGUAUUUCUCAUGGGACUGGCAAUCAUUAUUAUUUUAUUAGUGAAUAAAAUUACUUAAGUGAUUACAUGUUUAUUUCACACUAAUCAUUUAAAUUAAUUGCAGCAGCAGAUCACAAUGUCUAAAUUGUGUGAUUAUCUCAUAUUUACUGAAGUUCCAUGUUAUACAGUCUAUAAAUGCCAUUAAUAUUAGUAUUAUUCAUUAUUUUUCAAAAUUAUGAAAAUGCCCUUCAAUGUUUAUCAUUUAAAAUAAUAAGAUGUUGGGAAAAGGACAAUCCUUUCAACAAAUAGUGCUAGAAAACUGGGUAUCUAUGAGCUAAAGAAUGAAGUUGUAUCCUUGCUAUACUAUAUACAUACAUAUUCAAAAUAGACCAAAGACAUAGACAUAUAGCUUAAACUAUAAAACUCUUAGAAGAAACAUAUGGAAUGCUUUGUGACAUUGCAUUUGGCUAUAAUUUCUUAAAUAUGACACCAAAGCUCAGAAACAACAAUGAAAUAAAUAAAUUUAACUUUACUAAAAUUAAAAACUUUUGUACAUCAAAAGUACUAACAAGAAAAUGAAAAGACAAUUCCCAGAACAAAUAAUUGUAAAAUAUAUGUGUAAUAAAUAAUAUCCAGGAUAUAAAAGAGAUGCUACAGCUCAGUAACAAAAACCAAACAAUCCAAUUUAAAAAUGAGGAAAGAAGUUAACUAAACAUUUCUCUAAGGAAGAUAUACAAAUGGACAAUGAAUGUAUGGAAUUAUGAUCAGCAUCGCAAAUCAUUAGGUAAAUGUAAAUCAAAACCAAACCCACCUUCCCCUGACCAAUAUUCUUACCCAAACUCCUUAUUUCAGCUUAAGUUACUCAGAUAUGUUCCUGUCAUCAGAUUCCAGAGUCCAGACUAAAGUCCUCUUCAACAUCUUCCUUCCUACCCUCAACAAUGGCUGAAUUUUUUCCCUUCAGAAGCAGUCUAUAAGCCUGACUAGAACCUCUAUUUACCAUAUCCACUGUGGAGGAAGGGAAGCUGAAGCCUAAAACUUGGCACCCCUUAGGAUCCUCAAACUGGCCUCAACUGGCAGUUCUCUGGUUUCUCUUACUAGUAAAGUUCUUGAGGUUGAGUUGCUCAUGGCUGAGUCCUAAAUUAGGACAAGGAGCAUCUGAGCCUCAGUUUGCCAGAGAGGUGCUAGGAGAGUGAGAUGUGAUUUAAAGGACUAAAAUGUGAUGAAAUAAGGAUGGCUCAGUCCUCAGAAACAUGUUCUGAAGAUGACUUAGUGAAAUGGAGACUAUCCCAAGAAAAAAACAUGGUAGGCAUAUGCUUAAGGUGAUAGGACCACAUGAGCAAAGAAAGGAGCCUGGGUCACUGUGUCACCUCAGAUGGGAGCCAUUUUCAUCCAGGAAGAACACACUUGAUUUGAAAGGAGAUAUACUGACUCCACAGAAUCCAUAAAAUUCUAAGAACUAGCCAGUUCCAAUUAAUUUCUCCUGAGAUGUAACCAUCAGAAUCCAGGUCUCUUAGUUAAUCCCUUUAGGAGUGUCCUAUCCCCUGACUACUUACAUUGACCAAGCUUAAAGGGGAGAGGGAGCCUUCAGGGGAGGGAGACCCCUGAGACCUUGGGGAGCAGAGUCAAGCUUCCUUGUGACAGAAGGAAAUUACAGAUCAGGGACAUGAGUUUUAUUUGAGGAUGUGAGCCCCACCAUUAUGCCCUGACAUGCUCAUGUGCAAGGAAGAGGGCGUCAAGAUAUUGCUUUGAUCCUUUAAGUUUGCUGUAGUUCCAGGUAGGGCCCAGAGUGACUCUGAGUUCCAGACUGGCCUUGGCUGUAAUCAGCACACCUUCUACUUCCCCAAAUGCACUGUACAAGUAAAUGUUUCUGUUUGAGCUAUAAGCAGAGCAAAAUCAGGACUAUUUUCUAGAAUCUGGAUGACCUUUGCUCUAUCUCAGCCCAAGUGAUGGUCUGUCCCCAUUGCCUGGCACUUGUUUUCCUUGUUAGAACAUUCCAGAGGGUUCCACAUGGUCACUUGUGACUCACAGAAUAAGGACAACCAGAGGCAGUGCUGCCAUGCCUUUUCAGCCAUGUUGGGUCUGCUGACUGCCACAAAAAUUUCUUCCAUUUGUUUCUUCUGGGGCCCUAAGCAGGGCUCUGCUGGUGUUGUCAAUGCUUGAGACACAUCUCAGGUCUCCAGGAGAUUGUGGCAUUUACUGCUAUGGUGGUUUUUAUAUCAAAGAGAUGACAUACUUCAAGAUAAAAAUGCUGUUCUGAAGGUUUUCUGCUUUGGUAAAAAUAUCAAAAAGUCAGUGAUAGUAGAUUAGACUAAUUACACAAGACUAUUAAGCCCUCAAGUUGCCUUUGGUGGCGGGGGGGGUUAACACUCAGAAGUUUUAAGUGCUGUGUGUGGCAGCAUUUAAUAAAAAUAUGAACAGGUCUUCACUAUGGGAGACAGUAGACUUUCUCAAAAAAAGGAUAAGAGUUCCCUUUGUGGCUCAGCAGAUUAAGAACCUGACAUACCCUCUGUAGGAAUUCUAUCCAUGACUUCACUCAGUGGCUUAAGGAGACGACAUUGCCUAGAGCUGUGGCAUAGGUCGCAGAUGCAGCUCAGAUCCAGUGUUUCCAUGGUUGUGGUGUAGGACUGCAGCUGCAGUUCUGAUCUGACACCUGGCCUGGGAACUUCAAUAUGCCACAGGUAUGG